rnacentral:misc_RNA from 1 species
GAUGAAGAACGUAGUGAAAUGCGAUAAGUAAUGCGAAUUGCAGAAUUCCGUGAGUCAUCGAAUCUUUGAACGCACAUUGCGCCCUCUGGUAUUCCGGAGGGCAUGCCUGUCUGAGCGUCAUUGUCAACCCUCAAGCUCAGCUUGCUGUUGGGUCCCCGUCGUUGCUUUAACGGCGGACCCGAAAGGUAAUGGCAGAGUCCGUGAGACCCUAGACGCAGCGAGCUUCUAGCACGCGUCUGGACGUUUUUCGGGCUCGGUCUUAACUAGAUGAUAACUUCCGAUUGACCUCAGAUCAGGUAGGGAUACCCGCUGAACUUAAGCAUAUCAAUACGCGGAGGA